AUUGAACGCUGGCGGCAGGCCUAACACAUGCAAGUCGAGCGAGCGGCGGACGGGUGAGUAAUGUCUGGGAAACUGCCUGAUGGAGGGGGAUAACUACUGGAAACGGUAGCUAAUACCGCAUACCAUCGGAUGUGCCCAGAUGGGAUUAGCUAGUAGGUGGGGUAAAGGCUCACCUAGGCGACGAUCCCUAGCUGGUCUGAGAGGAUGACCAGCCACACUGUAACGUAGACACGGUCCAGACUCCUAAGGGAGGCAGCAGUGGGGAAUAUUGCACAAUGGGCGCAAGCCUGAUGCAGCCAUGCCGCGUGUGUGAAGAAGGCCUUCGGGUUGUAAAGCACUUUCAGCGAGGAGGCGUUACUCGCAGAAGAAGCACCGGCUAACUCCGUGCCAGCCGCCGCGGUAAUAC
rnacentral:rRNA from 1 species